AUCAAAUUUUGAUUCUCAAAUAUUUUAUUUGACUUUAUUUAGACAUUGCAUAUAUAUAAAUAUAUCUCUAUAAUGCCGAUACUCGCUGUCAAAGAAUCCGAUGGCCCCGUAUCAUCAUCCGGAAGGUGGGGGGGUGUGAAACCAAAACGCGACAACCGGGAUCGCGACCGCGAGCCCGAAACCGAUACCGGUGGAAUGUUAUCAUCGCAGAGGCGCGGGGAGGACAUUCGCCCCAUCUGCAUCAAGUUGGAUAAGUGUAUUGUUGUUAUCUUAGGCAUAGUCCUUUUAUUUAUAAUAGUAGGUGCGAUUAUCUCUGUUACGAAUCCAGAUUGGUACAACAAAGUUUUUUCGAAAAAAAAAAAUUAAUGAAAACUUAAAAAAAAAAAACGCUGGCAACAAAAUGAAAGUCAAAAGAAAUGAGAGAUGGCAAAUGGGAAAUUAAUGGAAACGUUUUUAAUAUUGGAUGACAGUUUUUUGAAUUGAAACAUUGAAACUGGGAAUGCAAAGGAGCACAACUGUACCCGAGAUCAACAUAUGAAAAUGGAAUAUUAAGAGAUAUAGCAAGCACCCUGUUAGUUUCUAUACAAUUUUGGCUUAGAAAUAUUUCGUUUUACUUCAAUCAGACAUUGGAUAUAUAAAUAAAUCUGUUUAAUGCCAAUACCCGCAGCAAAGGAAUCCGAGGGCCCCAUAUCAUCAUCCGGAAGGUGGGGGGGUGUUAGACCAAAACGUAAAGAACACGACGCAGACCGCGACCGCGACCGCGACUACGGGCGCGACCGCGAUACCGAGCGCGACCCAGAACGCGAACCAGACCGCAUCCGUGACCGUAAUCGGCAGCCCGAAGCGUUGAGCGGUGGAAUUGUUGGAAUAUAUAAACAAAAUCGUAAACCGAUACUCAUAUCGGCCGCUGUGCUUGUUGCAAUAAUAACUUUGUUAUUGAUUGCCUAUUUUCUUACACCAGAAUUGUACCACUCACUGAUGACAACGACAAGAAGACCAUAUUUUUAAAGUCCGCAACAAAAUGAAUGAAGAUCGAUCGUUUGAUUCCAUCGAGACCACAGGGUCCGGCUGUUGUUGGUGCCGAAACAAAAAAAACUGCUGCUUUGUAAUUAUAUUUUUAUUUUGUUUUAUAGCAUUAACAUGGAUAUGCGUGUUUUCCAGUACGAGGGGCUAACGAAAGGACAUUAUUAAACAUUUAAAGGAUACCCACAA